GACGAACGCUGGCGGCGUGCUUAACACAUGCAAGUCGAACGGAAAGGCCCUGCUUUUGUGGGGUGCUCGAGUGGCGAACGGGUGAGUAACACGUGAGUAACCUGCCCUUGACUUUGGGAUAACUUCAGGAAACUGGGGCUAAUACCGGAUAGGAGCUCCUGCUGCAUGGUGGGGGUUGGAAAGUUUCGGCGGUUGGGGAUGGACUCGCGGCUUAUCAGCUUGUUGGGGGGGUAGUGGCUUACCAAGGCUUUGACGGGUAGCCGGCCUGAGAGGGUGACCGGACAUUGGGAGGGAGAGACGGCGCAGACACCCACGGGGGGGGGAAGGGGGGAGAAUUGCACAAUGGGGGGGAAAGCGAGACGGAAAAGCGCCGCGGGGGGGAGGGGGGCUCGGGGGUUGAAACCCUUUCGCCUGUGAGGAAAGGCGGGUGAGGGUAAAUGGGAAAAAAAAACCGGGUAAAUAUGU
rnacentral:rRNA from 1 species